AUACAGAGGGUGCGAGCGUUAAUCGGAAUUACUGGGCGUAAAGCGCGCGUAGGCGGCUUGGUCAGUCGGAUGUGAAAGCCCCGGGCUCAACCUGGGAAUGGCAUUCGAUACUGCCAGGCUAGAGUAUGGGAGAGGGAAGUGGAAUUUCCGGUGUAGCGGUGAAAUGCGUAGAUAUCGGAAGGAACACCAGUGGCGAAGGCGACUUCCUGGCCCAAUACUGACGCUGAGGUGCGAAAGCGUGGGGAGCAAACAGGAUUAGAUACCCGCGUAGUCC
rnacentral:rRNA from 1 species